CUUAUUUCUUCGAUUAGUCUAUUCCUUUUUUUUUCUUUUUUCUUCUUCUAACUCUUUUAAUUUUGGCAUUUCAGGCAAUAAGCCUUUACCUACUCCACCGAAAGAUGUAUAAGACGAGGAUCCUGCAAGUUCGCCUCGUCCCUCUACGGUAAGUUUCGGUUCUACUAUACUUUCUCUUUUUCUUUCUACGUUAUUUGACAUAUACAUAUCAUUUCAGCCAAUUCCUACUUCAACCUCAUCGGCCCCACCAUCCGUCAAACGAUCGAUGGACUUUGAGCAGUCGACCCAGCCACCGCCACA
rnacentral:lncRNA from 1 species